rnacentral:ncRNA from 1 species
CUUAUCAAGAGUGUACGCUCUACGUACAAAAGGCAGAGGGAACGGCCCUAUGACGCCCGGCAACCUGUAAGAUUAAAAAUAUCGCACAAGGUGCUAAUUCCGACGAAGCAACCCUUCGUAAGAUAAG